AGGAUUGCACCUUUCAAUUAUUUACUCUCCUUGAUUGCAAAAGCAGUCUUACCUGGAGGGCUUGAAUCAUUUCAAGACUCCGUGUGCAGUUCCUUGCUGAUGCAAUGACAACAUCCUAGGGCGAGCAGUAGCUAUCAGAGAAGCUGUGACUGCAGACCUUGGGUUAGCCCUUGGAGAUGUGUUUUGAAGAAGAGUGGAGUAAGAAACAGGCUCUCCUGCCCUCAUUUCUCACGAAGCGAGCUUUUGUUUGGAAGGAAACCUGCCCAACUGAGGCGAGAGGGGCAUAAUAUGCAGGGACAUGCCUGCUCCUGUGAUGCUGGAACUGGAGGCUGAGGCUGCUGCUCUGUCAGAAUAUCUGAGUCACAUUUUUAUUUGUUUUGUUCUUAGCCUGAAUUGAGAAAGAUCUUGUAAGAAAUUUUAUGGCCUUUGACAUCACUCUACGCUUUUGCAAGACAACAGCCUGACAUUUUGCCCGAGGUGUUAGAUUAAAUAAUAACUGGAGAUUGUGCAAAUACUUCUGCUUAGCCAUGGUUAUCACACCAAGGCCUUGCAGCCAAGGUCCCCAAGCUGGGGACCUCUGCUGUUGGGGUUGUUCCAUGCAUUACAUGCCAUUAAGAUAGCAGCUCGGUCUGUCUGUCUGCCUGUUUGCGCUGCUGUUGGUUGGCUCUACUUUGAAAGCACUGGUAGAAAGCCCACAUGGGAAGAUCUGAGGGGAGAACCACACACCCUGACCACCCACACUUGCUAUCAGGGCAAAAUCUUGGUGGUAUACAGAACCUGUAGGCAACACCUGAGCAAAGGCAAGCUGCAAGUUCGCAGUUCUGCUGCACACGAGCAUUUUGACACAAGAAUAUCACUGGUCCUGGCUCCCUGAGGAGUCAUGCCCUAGUCAACAAGGCAAUGAGAAGGAGCACAGACCACCACAUAGAUGGCCCAGCUUACGUUUCCUGCAGAAUUACACAGUCCUAAACUCUGUCUGUAAGAACAAAGGGACUUGAAAGAGACUGUAAGAGCAAAAAGAACUGCAUUUCUCAAUCUCGUGCUAACAGCUGCAAGCCUGAAAUCAUUUAGGGGAUUUUAUGUUCACUUUCAUUUUAAACACGAGGAAGUUCAGGACAGCUGAGUGAAGAGGGAGUUUUACAUAUUCCUAAUGCCUUACGGAUGUGCUCUCAGAACAAUUUGUGUCUUUCUAAGACCACUGUUUUCCCCUUUCCUGGCUGGUGUUGCCCUACAGCUACAUGAGGAGCCGGCUGCAGGAGUGCAGGUGUGAGGGCUUCCAAUUUGUAGCUGAUGGUUCUGGUCAACAAACUGGUGGAGCCCACAAACUGAAGGGGCUU